rnacentral:rRNA from 1 species
GACGAACGCUGGCGGCGUGCUUAACACAUGCAAGUCGAACGGACGAGUGAGAUAAGUUUACUUAACUCACAAGUUAGUGGCGGACGGGUGAGUAACACGUGGAUAAUCUACCUGCAACACCGGGAUAACGCUGUGAAAACGGUGCUAAUACCGGAUACGUUCCCUUGUGCGCAUGUAUGAGGGAAGAAAGCUCAGGCGGUUGCAGAUGAGUCCGCGGCUGAUUAGCUAGUUGGUGAGGUAAAAGGCUCACCAAGGCGAUGAUCAGUAGCCGGCCUGAGAGGGUGAACGGCCACACUGGGACUGAGACACGGCCCAGACUCCUACGGGAGGCAGCAGUGGGGAAUCUUCCGCAAUGGGCGCAAGCCUGACGGAGCAACGCCGCGUGGGUGAAGAAGGCCUUCGGGUUGUAAAGCUCUGUCUUAUGGGAAGAAGUCAGUGACGGUACCAUAGGAGGAAGCCACGGCUAACUACGUG